UACGUAGGGUGCGAGCGUUAAUCGGAAUUACUGGGCGUAAAGCGUGCGCAGGCGGUUCGUUAAGUUCGUUGUGAAAGCCCCGGGCUCAACCUGGGAACUGCAAUGGAAACUGGCGAGCUUGAGUGUGGCAGAGGGGGGUGGAAUUCCGCGUGUAGCAGUGAAAUGCGUAGAGAUGCGGAGGAGCACCGAUGGCGAAGGCAGCCCCCUGGGCCAACACUGACGCUCAGGCACGAAAGCGUGGGGAGCAAACAGG
rnacentral:rRNA from 1 species